GUGCCAGCAGCCGCGGUAAUACAUAGGGGGCGAGCGUUGUUCGGAAUUACUGGGCGUAAAGCGUGCGCAGGCGAUUAUGCAAGACAGAGGUGAAAUCCCCGGGCUCAACCUGGGAACUGCCUUUGUGACUGCAUGGCUAGAGUGCGGCAGAGGGGGAUGGAAUUCCGCGUGUAGCAGUGAAAUGCGUAGAUAUGCGGAGGAACACCGAUGGCGAAGGCAAUCCCCUGGGCCUGCACUGACGCUCAUGCACGAAAGCGUGGGGAGCAAACAGGAUUAGAUACCCUGGUAGUCCACGCCCUAAACGAUGUCAACUGGUUGUUGGGUCUUCACUGACUCAGUAACGAAGCUAACGCGUGAAGUUGACCGCCUGGGGAGUACGGCCGCAAGGUUGAAACUUAAAGAAAUUGACGG
rnacentral:rRNA from 1 species